AUUGAACGCUGGCGGCAGGCCUAACACAUGCAAGUCGAGCGGCAGCACAGAGAAACUUGUUUCUCGGGUGGCGAGCGGCGGACGGGUGAGUAAUGCCUGGGAAAUUGCCCUGAUGUGGGGGAUAACCAUUGGAAACGAUGGCUAAUACCGCAUAAUAGCUUCGGCUCAAAGAGGGGGACCUUCGGGCCUCUCGCGUCAGGAUAUGCCCAGGUGGGAUAAGCUAGUUGGUGAGGUAAUGGCUCACCAAGGCGACGAUCCCUAGCUGGUCUGAGAGGAUGAUCAGCCACACUGGAACUGAGACACGGUCCAGACUCCUACGGGAGGCAGCAGUGGGGAAUAUUGCACAAUGGGCGCAAGCCUGAUGCAGCCAUGCCGCGUGUGUGAAGAAGGCCUUCGGGUUGUAAAGCACUUUCAGUCGUGAGGAAGGCAGUAUAGUUAAUAGCUAUAUUGUUUGACGUUAGCGACAGAAGAAGCACCGGCUAACUCCGUGC
rnacentral:rRNA from 1 species